GAUGAAGAACGUAGCGAAAUGCGAUAAGUAAUGUGAAUUGCAGAAUUCAGUGAGUCAUCGAAUCUUUGAACGCACAUUGCGCCCCCUGGUAUUCCGGGGGGCAUGCCUGUCCGAGCGUCAUUACAACCCUCAAGCUCAGCUUGGUGUUGGGCCCCGCCGCCCCGGCGGGCCCUAAAGUCAGUGGCGGUGCCGUCCGGCUCCGAGCGUAGUAAUUCUUCUCGCUCUGGAGGUCCGGUCGUGUGCUCGCCAGCAACCCCCAAUUUUUUUCAGGUGGACCUCGGAUCAGGUAGGGAUACCCGCUGAACUUAAGCAUAUCAAUAAGCGGAGGA
rnacentral:misc_RNA from 1 species